AACGAACGCUGGCGGCGUGCCUAACACAUGCAAGUCGAACGAGAAACUUCCCGCUUGCGGGAGGGAGUAAAGUGGCGCACGGGUGAGUAACGCGUGGGUAACCUGCCCUUGAAUCUGGGAUAACUCUGCGAAAGCGGUGCUAAUACCGGAUACGGUUUCGAAGACUUUGGUUUUCGGUAUCAAAGGUGACCUCUUCCUGAAAGUUGCCGUUUAAGGAUGGGCCCGCGUACCAUUAGCUUGUUGGUAGGGUAAUGGCCUACCAAGGCUACGAUGGUUAGCUGGUCUGAGAGGAUGAUCAUCCACACUGGAACUGAAACACGGUCCAGACUCCUACGGGAGGCAG
rnacentral:rRNA from 1 species